UGGGGAAUAUUGCACAAUGGGCGAAAGCCUGAUGCAGCGACGCCGCGUGCGGGAUGAAGGCCUUCGGGUUGUAAACCGCUUUUAAUUGGGAGCAAGCGAGAGUGAGUGUACCUUUUGAAUAAGCACCGGCUAACUACGUGCCAGCAGCCGCGGUAAUACGUAGGGUGCAAGCGUUAUCCGGAAUUAUUGGGCGUAAAGAGCUCGUAGGCGGUUUGUCACGCCUGGUGUGAAAGUCCAUCGCUUAACGGUGGAUCUGCGCCGGGUACGGGCAGGCUAGAGUGCAGUAGGGGAGAUUGGAAUUCCCGGUGUAACGGUGGAAUGUGUAGAUAUCGGGAAGAACACCAAUGGCGAAGGCAGAUCUCUGGGCUGUUACUGACGCUGAGGAGCGAAAGCAUGGGGAGCGAACAGGAUUAGAUACCCGUGGUAGUCCAUGCCGUAAACGGUGGAUGCUGGAUGUGGGACCCUUCCACGGGUUCCGUGUCGGAGCUAACGCGUUAAGCAUCCCGCCUGGGGAGUACGGCCGCAAGGCU
rnacentral:rRNA from 1 species